GAUGAACGCUGGCGGCGUGCCUAAUACAUGCAAGUCGAGCGCAGCGGGGACGGGUGAGUAACACGUGGAUAACCUCCUAUAAGACUGGGAUAACUGCGGGAAACCGGAGCUAAACCGGUUAUUCAUAGAUGGAUCAGCGCUGCAUUAGCUAGUUGGUAAGGUAACGGAUUACCAAGGCAACGAUUAUCAGCCGACCUGAGAGGGUGAUCGGCCACACUGCAACUGAGACACGGUCCAGCCUCCUACGGGAGGCAGCAGUAGUGAAUCUUCCGCAAUGGGCGAAAGCCUGACCGAGCAACGCCGCGUGAGUGAUGAAGGUCUUCGGAUCGUAAAACUCUGUUGUUAGGGAAGCGGUACCUAAUCAGAAAGCCACGGCUAACUACGUGCCAGCAGCCGCGGUAAUAC
rnacentral:rRNA from 1 species